rnacentral:rRNA from 1 species
GAGUUUGAUCGUGGCUCAGGAUGAACGCUGGCGGCGUGCCUAAUACAUGCAAGUCGAACGAACAGAUAAGGAGCUUGCUCCUUUGACGUUAGCGGCGGACGGGUGAGUAACACGUGGGUAACCUACCUAUAAGACUGGGAAUAACUCCGGGAAACCGGGGCUAAUGCCGGAUAACAUGUUGAACCGCAUGGUUCUACAGUGAAAGACGGUCUUGCUGUCACUUAUAGAUGGACCCGCGCCGUAUUAGCUAGUUGGUGGGGUAACGGCCUACCAAGGCGACGAUACGUAGCCGACCUGAGAGGGUGAUCGGCCACACUGGAACUGAGACACGGUCCAGACUCCUACGGGAGGCAGCAGUAGGGAAUCUUCCGCAAUGGGCGAAAGCCUGACGGAGCAACGCCGCGUGAGUGAUGAAGGUCUUCGGAUCGUAAAGCUCUGUUGUUAGGGAAGAACAAAUGUGUAAGUAACUGUGCAUAUCUUGACGGUACCUAACCAGAAAGCCACGGCUAACUACGUGCCAGCCGCCGCGGUAAG